UAUUGUGACGCCCAUGUCGCCCAUCUCAACCCGACCCGUUGUUACCACCCCUCAAAACGUCUCACCGGAGUCGAAUGCCCCUCUCUCUUCGAUGGGCCGACGUUAGCAGCAGCCGACGAUGAGAAACCAACCCUAACGCGAAGGUGACACCUGAAACCCUAAUCCAUAAAACCCUUACCCCUACCCAAAUCAAGAAAAGCGCAUGGUGUCGCUGAGUCGGGCGGCCUGGAGGGCUCUGGGCCGCUCCCGACGGCCAUGGCCGAGGCGACGACCGAGGUCUACCGCCACGGGAGGGAUAUCGGAGCCGAGGUCUGGGAGCCCGUCAGAGAGUGCCGAUGUCUCGUUUUUAAGUUCGGCACUAAUAGUGUUCCAAAAAUGACGUUUUGUGUCCCAAACGCGCCAUUACUGUACGGAAUUGGACAGGGAUGGGAGAGGGCGAGCCGGUGUAAGUAUAGACUACCAUGGCUAGUUUUCUUGGAUCUUUGGUGACUCUCUUAGGUCAGAUGGCAGAUUGGCUGCGAUCAGCUUCCUAUUCGAUUUCCAGCCAGUAGCCGAAGAAUUGAGGGUUUGAGAUAUAAUUCUGUUGAUUAUGAUUCAAUUUGGUUGACUCAGACAAACGUUGAUCGAGAACAUUGUAGAUAUACAGGUUGAGACAGGGCUGCAGGUGCUGCUUGUGCUUUAGGUCAUUGACAUUUGUGAUCGCGGGAGAGGCUAUGGCAGUGGUUGCCCAUGGAACUAACAUAUGAUUGACUGUUUGGUUGCUCAAAUGUUUGAGGCAACGAAUUGCCAGUUAGUGAGGUGCUCUCGAUGGUUGAUUGAGAUUUUGACUUGGAGACAAUUCACUGCAAGCAGUGAGACAUUUGGCACCAAUAACACAGUGUUGAAGUUUAUCCGUCUUUUAACGGUAUUCAUCAGCUAUUAUUUUAAUCUUCCAAGAGUGGAAUUUUCUCAUGUUUGGAAGGCAAUCUACAAGAUCAAGACGAAUUGGGACAGCUGGAGGAUAUCGCUACAUUUUGGUACGCAGAGCAUUAGUAAUGACAAGUCUUACGCAUCUCUAAAGGCUAUAGAUCCCAAACAAGAUCUGAUCAUGUAAUUGUAGUGCCUUUUGGACCAUAUUAUCUAAGCUAUUACCAGUGUUUUUUCUGUCAUGCUCAGAACAUAUACAUACCAAAUGUUUGACAUCGAACAAACAGAAAAUGAACUUUGUGGUAUUUUGGCUAGUUUUCUUACUACCGGCCAGCAAAAACGAAAUGUAAUAUUUGAAUUUACCACCACACUGUAUUGGGUUGUUCGCCAGACACUUUCAUGUAAUUGAGAAACGAUUGGAAUCCAAGUUAUGAUGCCAAAAGUUCAGUGUCA